rnacentral:rRNA from 1 species
UACGUAGGGGGCAAGCGUUGUCCGGAAUCAUUGGGCGUAAAGAGCGCGUAGGCGGCCCUGUAAGUCCGCUGUGAAAGUCAAGGGCUCAACCCUUGAAUGCCGGUGGAUACUGCAGGGCUAGAGUCCGGAAGAGGCGAGUGGAAUUCCUGGUGUAGCGGUGAAAUGCGCAGAUAUCAGGAGGAACACCGAUGGCGAAGGCAGCUUGCUGGGACGGUACUGACGCUGAUGCGCGAAAGCGUGGGGAGCAAACGGG